UGCACGCGCUCAGCUACUCGAGCGCUGCGGUAUGUAGAGGGAAAAUAACCCAGGCCUCAAAAAUAUCAAAAAAUCUAAAAAAAUUAGAAAAAUGUACUACAGAUAAUGAAUUAUGUGUACAUGGUGGAUUUGAAAGCGACAGCACUUCGGCAGAGCUUGCGCCCGGUUGGGAUUUCGAAAGUUGCCUCCAUCGACAAAUGCAGUCCUCGAAAGUUCGUGGACGAUGCUGAUUCAAAACUGCCCUCUAGUUGCACUAGGAGUUGGAUGUGUGGUACGUCAUUAAACUUUUUUUCUUGUCUUUAAAAAAAAAAAACAUAAAAUGCACGUAGAUCCUAAAAAUCUUGUAUUUUCUCUUCCUCCUGCUGGUUAGACAUGUGGCCAUUCUCUCUCUCAGAAUCUGCC
rnacentral:lncRNA from 1 species